CUUCGGGGUGGAUUAGUGGCGAACGGGUGAGUAACACGUGGGCAAUCUGCCCUUCACUCUGGGACAAGCCCUGGAAACGGGGUCUAAUACCGGAUAACACUCUGUCCCGCAUGGGACGGGGUUAAAAGCUCCGGCGGUGAAGGAUGAGCCCGCGGCCUAUCAGCUUGUUGGUGGGGUGAUGGCCUACCAAGGCGACGACGGGUAGCCGGCCUGAGAGGGCGACCGGCCACACUGGGACUGAGACACGGCCCAGACUCCUACGGGAGGCAGCAGUGGGGAAUAUUGCACAAUGGGCGAAAGCCUGAUGCAGCGACGCCGCGUGAGGGAUGACGGCCUUCGGGUUGUAAACCUCUUUCAGCAGGGAAGAAGCGAAAGUGACGGUACCUGCAGAAGAAGCGCCGGCUAACUACGUGCCAGCAGCCGCGGUAAUACGUAGGGCGCAAGCGUUGUCCGGAAUUAUUGGGCGUAAAGAGCUCGUAGGCGGCUUGUCACGUCGGAUGUGAAAGCCCGGGGCUUAACCCCGGGUCUGCAUUCGAUACG
rnacentral:rRNA from 1 species